rnacentral:rRNA from 1 species
UGGGGAAUAUUGCGCAAUGGGCGCAAGCCUGAUGCAGCCAUGCCGCGUGUAUGAAGAAGGCCUUCGGGUUGUAAAGUACUUUCAGCGAGGAGGAAGGCGUUGUGGUUAAUAACCGCAGCGAUUGACGUUACUCGCAGAAGAAGCACCGGCUAACUCCGUGCCAGCAGCCGCGGUAAUACGGAGGGUGCAAGCGUUAAUCGGAAUUACUGGGCGUAAAGCGCACGCAGGCGGUCUGUCAAGUCGGAUGUGAAAUCCCCGGGCUCAACCUGGGAACUGCAUCCGAAACUGGCAGGCUAGAGUCUUGUAGAGGGGGGUAGAAUUCCAGGUGUAGCGGUGAAAUGCGUAGAGAUCUGGAGGAAUACCGGUGGCGAAGGCGGCCCCCUGGACAAAGACUGACGCUCAGGUGCGAAAGCGUGGGGAGCAAACA